rnacentral:rRNA from 1 species
AUUGAACGCUGGCGGCAUGCCUUACACAUGCAAGUCGAACGGCAGCACGGGAGCAAUCCUGGUGGCGAGUGGCGAACGGGUGAGUAAUAUAUCGGAACGUGCCCGGUCGUGGGGGAUAACGUAGCGAAAGCUACGCUAAUACCGCAUACGAUCUAUGGAUGAAAGCGGGGGAUCGCAAGACCUCGCGCGAUUGGAGCGGCCGAUAUCAGAUUAGGUAGUUGGUGAGGUAAAGGCUCACCAAGCCGACGAUCUGUAGCUGGUCUGAGAGGACGACCAGCCACACUGGGACUGAGACACGGCCCAGACUCCUACGGAGGCAGCAGUGGGAAUAUGGACAAUGGGCGCAACGCCGUGAUCCAGCAAUGCCGCGUGAGUGAUGAAGG